CCCGAGAUCUGGGCUGGCGAACCCAGAUCCACUGAGAAGUGGAAUGUGCGCACUUAACCACUGCGCCACCCGCUGGCCCCUGGGGGACUGAAUCUUAUAUACAUUGGAACACUGAAUUUUUAGCCCAAUACCUAGCGCAUCAUGAGAAUCCAACAAAUAUUUGCUGAAAAAAUAAACAAAUGAUGAAUGACUAUUGUUUAGGACAAGUACGAACCCUCUGACAGUUGUAAAAGAUGUUUCACAACCAUUUUAUUACUUAUCCUGUAGCAUCUCAUUGUAACAUACUGUAAUAUUUUGAAUUUCCAAAUAACAAAUAGAGGCAGUAAGAAGAGAAAGCUUUUCUGUUCUCAGGCCAGGUCACAGAGCCAAAUCAAAGAAGCAGAAAAUAAUCACACAAAACCUCCUAGUGAAUUCGGAGACGAAGUGCUGAGUCUGCCUUAGUCUGGAUAGUACCAGGAGAGUCCAUCCAGUUUCCUAUCUAAAGAAGCUUUUUUCUCUAAUGGUGGAACACUUCUAAAGGUCUACUUUUAUACUUUUCUUUACAAGCAAAACUGGUCCUUUAUAAAUGGUCCUUCUUGAAACCGGACACUUUCGUGGGCUGUUUCAGCUAUUAUAUUCAUUAAUAAGCGUUUUAAAAUUUAUACUUAUGGAGAAAAAAACCCCUCCGGAUGAUGAAACACAUGUGUUUAUAUCUUUUUCUUACCAGAACCCCAUAAGAUAAUAGCAAAAACCCAAAAGGAUGCAAAUUGGGAGAGAAGACAGUAGAAGAUUCUAGAAAUGGACAAAAUUGUUGGAAAAUGGUUAAUAUAAAGAUGAGCGGUCUAACUAAAUUAGAAAUCUUAAAUGCCUGCAGAAGGAGAUGCUGAUGAGAAGCAAGUGAUUUGCCCCAUAGAGUCACAGAAAGGCUCAGGAGUUGGACACACUAGUUCCUCCUUGAAAAUAAUUUUGAUUGGCAACUCUGGAUACUUCUGAGAGGGAGCCAGGAGCUGAAAACAAGGAAUUGGUUCAAAGAAUCCCUAAGGAGCAGUUAGACCAUACUGUCCUAUUUCCACUUCAGGUAGCCAGGAGACAACCCCUUUCCAUGUCUGGAUGAUGGGAGGUUUAUUCUCUGGAAAAUUUAAAACAGACAGUCUCCAGUACCAGGGAUGCAGAACACAGACAAUGGAAAAGAUGAGGCACUAGAAGAAAUUUCCGGGAUUGGGUCAGAGAAGAGAACAGAGACUUCAAUUAUAUCUAGAGUUAUAUUUCUAAAAAACAGUAAUGACGGGAAUAUGGAAAAAUAGUAAUAUUUGAUACUUCUUGGUAUUGUGACUCUCUGUUACAUUAAUACCUGUAUUUUCUGUUUGAAAAAUGUCAUAGUCAAAAAUUAAACAAAAACCUCUGUUGUGUCCUAAGGCAAAUGGAAUGUGGAAGAGAUUAUGAGAAACAAAAUGUUAUAACCUCUUCAUGAUAUCACCUUAGUUACGGAAAGAAUUGUUGAAAUUAACUGAGAAAGUGGUUAAAAAUGCCAUAUAUACAAUGACUAUAUUAAUAAUCUCAUUAGUAUUAAUAAUUUUAAGAUAAAUGGAUGCUAACCUUAUGACCCAACCUUCACCUCAAUGUUUUAACAGGUUUUAUUGCUGUAUUAAUAGUAAAUUAUGCAGGAGCCACUAGGUUUUUUUUUCCUCUAGACCAGACUGCAUCCAGGCAAUAACUUUUGUAAAUCCCAGGUUCAUUUUACAACCCCACCUAAAGUGUGUGCUGAAGACGUGCACACUCAUGUUAACAUUUUUCUCUCAUUAAAACAUUAAUAAGAAAGAUAAAUAUUUUUGCAGUUGCUAGAAAGAGAAGAGAUGGGCAUGCAACCCCAUAAAUGUUCACUGCACAGAAUAAUAAAAAUAAUCGUAAUGAGUUAUUGAUAAAUUAGUCACUCAUCCUUUUUUGUUCUAGAGUCAUUCACAAAUGAAUAAAAAUACAUUUACCCUUCCUUUUUCCAGGAGGUAUAGCCAAGUUUUACUAUGUUUAGAGUUCCUUUGUAACAGGAGAAAAUUCACACCUUUUUGUAGAAAUAAAAAGUUGUAAGUUGCAGGUGUAAAACUCAAAGUGACGUUGAUUUGUAGGUAUCAUUGAAAUAGCACUGUUGGAUUAUCUGCAGGGAGAUGGAGGAUGGUGCUUCCAGGGGAAGAUGCUGGUUCUGGCCUGGGAGAAAGUAGGGUUCUCCGAACCAGGCAGGAUGGAGGGGCGGUGGGUUCUGUGAGUGGCCAUGACACUCAUGCAGGGUGCCAGGGCACUGAGCAUUAAGCAUCAUGGCCAUGGGAGCUGCAGUGAAAGAGGCAGCUGCUUCUACUUCCUAAUGGGCCAUGGAGGCUAAAACAAAUCUCAUAGUGAAUCUCAGUGUUGAGCCUGUUGGUUUACUGACCAGAGGGAGGCCUCUCCCACAUUUUCUUGGAAUGCCUGGUCCCAAAUCCUGCUAUAACACCAGGAAAGUGAUGAUGCUGUAUGAAGAAAAAAGAAAUUGAAAAAAAAAGAGAGAGAUAGCUUGUGGUCCUGAAAGAGGCCUCAAAGCUAGACAUGAUUUUAUUCAAGAAGAUAAAGAAAUGAGGCUUUUUUGGUGUAUUGUGAGCAGUGCAGCAAACCAUGAUUGUUUUAAAAAUAUUACAAGACUCUGAAGCAGAUGUUCGUUUUCCUUAGGAAAGAUGGUUGACCAAGGCUCUCUAAGUUAUUAUAAUGAGGUUCAACUGAUAUUAAGGAUGAGGAUAGUGCAUAGGCAGUAAUACAAUCUGUCAAGCACUUUCAUAUUUACCCCCAGAGCCCAUUUUUGUGUGCACCUGAGGUUGGGAAGUGGGGUCAGUGGCCCCUUAAAUGGGUCUCAGUUCAACUUCCAAUUGCUUACUUCUUCUUGUAAAAGUUCCUGUUCUUUUGAAGUGCUUGCCUUUGAGCCACUCAUCCUCCUUCCACUUUUUUUCAAUUAAGACUUUGGGUCUAGUUGGACUCUUGAUUCUCUUCACUCCAAGUGCUUCCAAUAUCCUAGGGGAUGUCAGCAUCUCUUUGUUUAUUUACUCCACACCCUGGCAUAUUAGUUCUUUGAUCUGCUUAUCUCUACUGAUCUUUAUCUCCCUCCUUCUUCCCACAGAUUACAUAAAUGGACCAGCUCCAACUCUUAACAACAAAUAACAAAUUAUUGAAAAAAAUUAAUAUCUUAAAACUAUAAGCAUUUAUUAUUUCACACAGUUUCUGUGUGCCAGGAGUCCAGUAGUGUCUUAGCUGGGUGACUCCGAAUCAGGGUAUCAUGGGGUUGCGGUCAAGAUAUUGCCCACGGCUUCUCUUGUCUGAAAGCACCACUGGGUCAGGAGGAUCUGCUUUCAAGGUGGCUCACCCAUGGGCCUGGCAAGUUAGUGCUGCUGUUGGCAGGAGCCAUGUAGACUUUUUCAUAUCAUUGCUUGAGUCUCCUUACUUCAUGGCAGCUGGUUCUUCUAGAGUGAGUGACUCAAGAAAGAGUAGGGUGCAAGCCACAAUGUCUUUUAUGACCUAGCCUUGGAGGUCACAUUCCAUCUUUUCUGCAAUAUCGCUUGGUUACACAAGUCAGCACUAUUCCAUAUGGGAGGGGACUCCACAGGGGCAUGAGGACCAAUCGGCAAGAUCAUUGCAUGUUCUACCACCAAACAAGGAUCAUGGGGCAACAUAUAAAAUAGUAACUGAGAAAUCUGAUCAAGAAACAAACGAAAAAUAGAGGCAUAAAAUGAUUGUGGAAUUGUUGUAAUGAGCCACUUAUUGACCCAUCUGGUGAUCCUGAGAACAAGUGUCCUUCAAACCACCGCCAGUUUUCCUACUUCUUCCUCUUUGUAGUUUCCUUGGCUGCACAUCACGGAAUCAGUUUGCAUUUGAUAUGCCUCGCGGAGGUCCCUAGUGAGGGGAUAUCAAACUUGCACGUGGAGUGGUCGCUGCCCGAGAACUAGGGACAGCUGUAUAUCAGUUUCAGAAGCUGCUUACCAAAGAGAGCCUCAUGUGGAAGAAUGUGGCCGUCACUCCCUGGGAAAACGGAAAGGAAGGAAGAAUACGACAAAGGAGGAAACCAGCUGUUGGACCCAAGAAGGAUUUAAACUUUGAAACAACGCCAAUCAACUGAAGACAGUUGCUGUGCCACACAAAAUCCUGAGGUCUGUCCAUCGUCUCCUUCUGUUCGACCAGCAAUUUGCUCAGCUAUUGCUAUUUUGGGAAGGAAUUUCCACAGAGCUGGCAUAUCUUCAGCCCCCGAGGUUUCCUCUGAUUGACUGAUCAACAGGUGUUGAAAAAGCCUGUGGCAGAAAUAUCGCAGACCCAGUGCGCUCAUCUGACUUCUGUAACUGUGACUGUAGUUUCAUUUGAGUGUAUGGUUUCUUAACCAAGGAACCUUUCUGCCGGAGAAAAACUUAAGAGAUUAUUUACAACCUUUAUAGGUAAUCGCUUUUGCAUAGACACAGCAUAUGCAUUUGUUAAUACCAUGUUUAUUUGUAAUUUAUAAGUUGAAUAUUAUACUAAUGAUUACACAACUGAAACCUAAAUGAAUAUGAUAUAGAAUGGACUUCUCAAAGAAUGUUGUUGAUGUUAUAAUCCUAAAAAAUAUUAAACUAUCUUGACUUAAUUUUGUCUCACUGCCGUAUCGUCAGAAAAGCUGUUAGAAUAAUGGUCAUAUGAGUAUUAGAGAAAAAACAAAGAAAGAAAAGAAAAGCACAUAUAAAGUGUUAGUUUGUCAAACACUUAAGGAGUAUAAUGUUACCCUAUUUUUAUACUAAAUUUCAUUUUUUGAUUUUUUCUUUAUAAUUUAUCCACAGUGAAAGAAACACGUGCGUAUGAAUUAUUCCCAUCAUAUUCAGAGUAAAAACCAAAGUGCUUAUUUUGGUCUCUGGAGUUAUCCAUAACCUGCCUCCUCACGUUAUCUUUGUGACUUUAUAUUCCCCGACUCUCACCCUGGUCCUUCGGCUUCGGCCUCACAGACCUUUCUGCUGUUCCUUGAACCAUGGGGCUCAUUCUACUUCAGGGCUUUGCUGUCCCUCUGUCAGGCACGGUACCUCCCAAGGAACAGGAUGGGGGGACCCCUCGCUUCCCUCAGAUCUUUAGUCAAAAGUCUCUUCCUUACUGCUGCUUUCCCUGUCUAUAGCCUAUCUAAAAUGUAAUCUUUCUCUAUCAAUAUUUUAUAUUCCCUCUUCCUUGUGUAUUUUUUCUCUUACAGGUUAUCUUUAUCUAACACAGUGUUCUUUUUACUUCUUUUAUUAUUUAUAUUCCCCACUAGAAUGUAAGCUCUGAAGAACAAGGUUUUAUAUUUUGUUGUCUUUUCUAUCAUCAGUGUAUAAAAUGUGCCUGGGACAUAGUAGAUCCUCGAUAAAUACAUGUUUAGUGGAUGCCUAGAAAGGGAUGCCUAGAAAAACAUGAUGUUUGAAUGCAACUGGUUUGAUCCUACUGUUGCCACUCAACCCAAAGCUUUUAAACUUGCAUCUGCCUCAUAACUCAGGGAGGGACAUGCUAUCCAGUGCUCCAGUCAGGGUUCCCAGUAUUUCCUGAAGAGAAUAAUAAAAUAAUGAUAAUAAUAAUAAUAAUACCUGCAUCCAGUUGCUUUGUACUUGGCCUCUUUAUAAAAACUAAUUUAUUUAAUCCUUUAAAAACUCUGUGAGUUAGGUCAUAUUAUCUGCAUUUUACAGAUGAAAAAUUGAGCCUAGUUAACUAACUUAUCCACUAUAUUGAGGCUGAUAUGUGAUGGCAUUGAUAUUAGAUAGAUCAUUUGAAUCAAAAUAUUUACUUGUCACCAUGAAGCUAUGUCACCAUGAAACACCGUGAAGCUAUGGUGUUUGGGAGUCUAAAAAGAGAUGAAAUAUGAAUAGGCUGAUCUAAUCUGAAAGCAAUGAAGAAAUAUUAAUGGGCUUUAAACCAGGGAGUGACACGAUUAGGUUGACAUGUUAGGGAAAUUACAUUGGCAGUAGAGUGGAAAAUGGAACAGAGAGAACAGGCUGGAGUCAGGAAGCGAAUAGCUCAUUGCAAUAGACCAGGUGACAAAACAUGAAGCGCAUUCUAGUCAGUGGAAGAUGUGAUAGAAAAGAGAAGACAGAGUUUAGAAAUGUCAUGAGCUAGAAUUCACUGAGGGUUGAGGGAAGCGAGGAACCAACAGUGGCUUCUAGGUUUCUUAUUUGAGAAGUUAGAGAGAUGUAAUGGUGCCACUAAUCCUCAUUAGGAAAGUAGGAAGAAAAUGAGAUUUGCAAGAAAAUCGUGUAGCUAAAAUCAAGGGAGGAGGUGCCCUUUCCAAAGGAGACUGAUAUAAAACCUCAAAUAUUGCCAAGAGGUCAAUAAGUCAAGGACUAAACAGCAUUGUUUGGUUUUGGCCAUUGACAGAUCAUCACUGGUGAUGUUUGGCAGAACUGCAGAGCAGAUUCUGGGCUAAAAGUAGACCUGAUCAAUCAUCUGUAGGAAUCUGAGUGGACGAAGUAGAGAUGAUGAAUGUAUACCCCCACGAGAUACCAUACUGAAAAGGAAGAGAUGAGAUGGGGCAGGGGCUCAAUCUUAUCAUUGUUUUAAAGAUGGAAGUGACUUGAUUCUUUUAAUGGAAUGGAUGGUAAAUGCCAGUUGUAAUGGAUUCCUGUUGCUGCUGUAACAAAUUGUCACAAACUUAGUGGCUUAAAACACACAAAUUUGGGGCUGGCCCCGUGGCCGAGUGGUUGAGUUCGCGCGCUCCGCUGCAGGCGG